rnacentral:lncRNA from 1 species
UUUCUUAGUGGACUCCGGGGCAGAGUAGGGAGCCAAAGAAGAUAUUUUCAAGCCUUAAGGAGAUGGAAUCUUUUGGAGAUCAUUAAAUUAUGAGAAGAGCCCCAUGAAUGGAUGAUAGGACUCCAGAAAACUUUCUAGCCCUCUUUUUACCAUGUGAGGAUGCAUCAAGAGACUGCAGUCUGCCUCCUGGAAGAGAGUCCUUAUGCUGGGACACUCAUCUUGGACUUCCAGCCUCCAGAACUACAAAGACUUACUCUGUCGCCCAGGCUGGAGUGUAACGACACAAUCUGUGCUUACUGCAACCUCCAUUUCCCAGGCUCAAGUGAUUCUUGUGCCUUCAGUCUCCCAAGUGGCUGGGAUGGCAGGU